UAUAACCUACAAUGUGCUUUAUUUUAAAGGUAAUGGCUUGACUUACUUUGACCUGUGUCAGUUUCUUCAAAUGGCAAUGUCUCAUUUUGGAAUGACACAGUUACAAUUAAGACUCACAGCAACAUACUUGAAGUCAUUACAACCAGAGAGCUAUUGAGACAGAA